AUUGAACGCUGGCGGCAGGCUUAACACAUGCAAGUCGAGCGGAGAUGAGGUGCUUGCACCUUAUCUUAGCGGCGGACGGGUGAGUAAUGCUUAGGAAUCUGCCUAUUAGUGGGGGACAACAUUCCGAAAGGAAUGCUAAUACCGCAUACGCCCUACGGGGGAAAGCAGGGGAUCUUCGGACCUUGCGCUAAUAGAUGAGCCUAAGUCGGAUUAGCUAGUUGGUGGGGUAAAGGCCUACCAAGGCGACGAUCUGUAGCGGGUCUGAGAGGAUGAUGCGCCACACUGGGACUGAGACACGGCCCAGACUCCUUCGGGAGGCAGCAGUGGGGAAUAUUGGACAAUGGGCGGAAGCCUGAUCCAGCCAUGCCGCGUGUGUGAAGAAGGCCUUUUGGUUGUAAAGCACUUUAAGCGAGGAGGAGGCUACCUGGAUUAAUACUCUAGGAUAGUGGACGUUACUCGCAGAAUAAGCACCGGCUAACUCUGUGCCAGCCGCCGCCGUAAUAC
rnacentral:rRNA from 1 species